rnacentral:rRNA from 1 species
CCUACGGGUGGCAGCAGUGGGGAAUAUUGCACAAUGGGGGAAACCCUGAUGCAGCGACGCCGCGUGAGCGAUGAAGUAUUUCGGUAUGUAAAGCUCUAUCAGCAGGGAAGAAAAUGACGGUACCUGUCUAAGAAGCCCCGGCUAACUACGUGCCAGCAGCCGCGGGAAUACGUAGGGGGCAAGCGUUAUCCGGAUUUACUGGGGGUUAAGGGAGCGUAGACGGUCCUGCAAGCCAGCUGUGAAAGCCCGGGGCUCAACCCCGGGACUGCAUUUGAAACUGGAAGGCUAGAGUGUCGGAGAGGCAGGCGGAAUUCCUGGUGUAGCGGUGAAAUGCGUAGAUAUUAGGAGGAACACCAGUGGCGAAGGCGGCCUGCUGGACGAUGACUGACGUUGAGGCACGAAAGCGUGGGGAGCGAACAGGAUUAGAUACCCGGGUAGUC